UACAGAGGGGGCAAGCGUUAUUCGGAAUUAUUGGGCGUAAAGGGCGCGUAGGCGGCUUUUCAAGUGACGGGUGAAAUCCCUCGGCUUAACCGAGGAACUGCCUGUCAGACUGGAAGGCUUGAGACCGGGAGAGGUGAGUGGAAUUCCCAGUGUAGCGGUGAAAUGCGUAGAUAUUGGGAGGAACACCAGUGGCGAAAGCGGCUCACUGGACCGGAACUGACGCUGAGGCGCGAAAGCCAGGGGAGCAAACGGG
rnacentral:rRNA from 1 species